rnacentral:rRNA from 1 species
AUGAGAGCCGCACCCCGUCUGCUUCUGCGCAGGAGACCACUUCCUCGCCGCAGCAGCGGAUCGGCGCAUCAGCAUCGCGCGCUCACCUUCUCCCCGCCACGCCGUCGGUGCGCGUGUCAGGGGUCACCGUCCUCCGGCCUGGAGGAGCAGGAGGAGUUUGAGGUGCUGGACGCCGAAUCUGGCACGGUGCGGUGCGCGGCCAACUAUGCGCCGCUGACGCCGCUCAGCUUCAUCGAGCGCGCCGCGGCCGUGUACGGCGACCGCCCCGCGGUGGUGUACGGGGAGUCCUGGUCUUGCACGUGGAGCGAGGUCUGGGAGAGGUGCUUGCGCGUCGCCGCCGCGCUCGCCACCCGGUUCGGAGUCGCCCGCGGUGAUGUGGUUGCUGUUCUUAGCCCGAACGUGCCGGCGAUGUACGAGCUACACUUCUCCGUGCCCAUGGCAGGCGCGAUCCUCUGCACCUUGAACACACGGCAUGACGCAGCCAUGGUGUCUGCGUUGCUGAAGCACUCUGGCGCCAAGGUGUUGUUUGUCGAGUCAGGCCUCCUUGAUGUUGGGAGAGCCGCUCUUAAUAACCUCGCCGGCGACGAGUCUAGCGCCACGGCCCUUCCGGUCCUCAUAACCAUCUCACACGAUGGAGACUGCAUCAACUCCGCAUACACAGACUACGAGAGUCUCAUCAGAGAAGCACCUUUAGGGUUCGACAUCCGUUGGCCGCUGAAUGAGUUGGACCCCAUCGCGUUGAAUUACACAUCUGGCACAACUGCGAGGCCCAAGGGCGUGAUCUACAGCCACCGGGCCGCGUACCUCAACACUAUUGCAACGGCUCUCACGUACAACAUCACUGUCACGCCCACUUACUUGUGGACCGUGCCGAUGUUCCACGCCAAGGGGUGGAACCUAUCAUGGGGCAUCGCCAUGCAGGGCGGCACCAACGUCUGCUUGCGCCGCUUCACGGCAAAGGUCAUCUUUGAUAAGAUCUCACAACACAAGGUGACGCACAUGGGCGGCGCACCCACGGUUCUCAACAUGAUCGUCAACGCACCAACUGGUGACCGAAAGCCACUGCCAGUGAUAGUACAUAUCAUGACCGGCGGUGCCCCACCACCGCCUAGCAUCUUGUAUGGGAUGGAAGAACUUGGAUUCAUAGUAUACCAAAUGUAUGGUCUCACAGAGAUUGGCCCAGCCACCAUCAAUACGUGGAUGCCGGAGUGGGACAUGUUGCCAACCGAGGAGCGGUCACGGCUCAUGGCACGACAGGGGUUUCAUCAUCACAUCGGUAUACAAGACAUUGAUGUCAAGAACCCAACAACCAUGGAGAGCCUUCCACAUGAUGGCAAAACUAUCGGGGAGGUGAUGUUUCGAGGUAACACCGUCACGAGCGGGUACUACAAGGACAUCAAUGCAACCAAGGAGGCAAUGGCCCAAGGGUGGUUGCACACGGGCGAUCUUGCUGUGAAUCAUCCGGAUGGGUACAUCCAGCUCAAGGACAGGGCCAAGGACAUCAUCAUAUCCGGCGGUGAGAACAUAAGCUCGAUUGAGGUGGAGGCGGUGAUCUUUAGCCACCCGGCAGUGCUUGAGGCAGCGGUCGUGGCAAGGCCAGAUGACCACUGGGGUGAGACACCUUGUGCGUUCGUCAAGUUAAAGACUAACGUCGAUGCAACCGAAAUAGAGAUUAUAAACUUCUGUCGGGAUAAGUUGCCACAUUACAUGGCACCAAAGACGGUGGUCUUCGCUGACUUGCCCAAGACUUCGACAGGGAAGACUCAAAAGUUUAUUCUCCGUCAGAAGGCUCGGGCUAUGGGCAGCCUUGUGAAGACCUAA